rnacentral:ncRNA from 1 species
GAAGAGGCAUCUCGCAAGGCUCAACUAAUAUGGGCCCCCUCUCGGGAAACCUAGAGGUGCGCAUUCGCCAAAUUCGGAGAAAUCCUCUCUGCCACAUCUGGCGGAAAGACAAUUCCGAGCUAAAUUCUAAGGUCUAAGACCGAAGAUAAAUGUGUAGAGACUAGAUGGCGAACUCCUUAAAUUUUCAAAUUAUUUUUAGAAAGGAGAUGGUAUAGUCCAGACCACAAAUUCAAUUUGAA